CCACCUAAUAUAGGCAAAAAUAAUGGGGAUUUAGUUACGUUAUGAUCAUACAUUGCAUAAGCCUGCCACAACGUCAAUGUAUUUGGGAGUCUAGCCAACUCCUUGGUUUUGCACCCCUCCCUGUUACAGGUGCCUCAUCUUAGGUCCCUAUUUAGCCUUGUAUUGCAGAGAGCCUCAGAUGUAAUUUUUUCCCCAAGUAAGUGAGUUAUACACAUAAGAGUAGACAUUAGACUGUGAGAGUAGGACCUGCCAAAGAUGGGGUACAUUGACGUUGUGGCAGGCUUAUGCAAUGUAUGAUCAUAUAAUGUAACUA